AAAUUGAAGAGUUUGAUCAUGGCUCAGAUUGAACGCUGGCGGCAGGCCUAACACAUGCAAGUCGAGCGGCAGCGGGAAAGUAGCUUGCUACUUUUGUCGGCGAGCGGCGGACGGGUGAGUAAUGCCUGGGGAUCUGCCCAGUCGAGGGGGAUAACAGUUGGAAACGACUGCUAAUACCGCAUACGCCCUACGGGGGAAAGGAGGGGACCUUCGGGCCUUUCGCGAUUGGAUGAACCCAGGUGGGAUUAGCUAGUUGGUGGGGUAAUGGCUCACCAAGGCGACGAUCCCUAGCUGGUCUGAGAGGAUGAUCAGCCACACUGGAACUGAGACACG
rnacentral:rRNA from 1 species